UACGGAGGGUGCAAGCGUUAAUCGGAAUUACUGGGCGUAAAGCGCGCGUAGGCGGUUUUUUAAGUCGGAUGUGAAAGCCCCGGGCUCAACCUGGGAACUGCAUCCGAUACUGGAAGACUAGAAUGCGGGAGAGGGAGGUAGAAUUCCAUGUGUAGCAGUGAAAUGCGUAGAUAUAUGGAGGAAUACCAGUGGCGAAGGCGGCCUCCUGGCUCGACAUCGACGCUGAGGUGCGAAAGCGUGGGGAGCAAACGGG
rnacentral:rRNA from 1 species